rnacentral:rRNA from 1 species
UCUACGGGUGGCAGCAGUGGGGAAUAUUGCACAAUGGGGGAAACCCUGAUGCAGCGACGCCGCGUGAGUGAAGAAGUAUUUCGGUACGUAAAGCUCUAUCAGCAGGGAAGAAAAAAAGUCCUUUGGACUUUGGACGGUACCUGACCAAGAAGCCCCGGCUAACUACGUGCCAGCAGCCGCGGUAAUACGUAGGAUCCGAGCAUUAUCCGGAGUGACUGGGUGUAAAGAGUUGCGUAGGUGGCAUAAUAAGUAGCUAGUGAAAUCUGGUGGCUCAACCAUUCAGACUAUUAGCUAAACUGUUAAGCUCGAGACCGUUAGGGGUAACUGGAAUUUCUAGUGUAGGAGUGAAAUCCGUAGAUAUUAGAAGGAACACCAAUAGCGUAGGCAGGUUACUGGGACGGUUCUGACACUAAGGCACGAAAGCGUAGGGAGCAAACGGGAUUAGAUACCCUUGUAGUC